rnacentral:rRNA from 1 species
AGUGAACGCUGGCGGUAGGCCUAACACAUGCAAGUCGAACGGCAGCACAGUAAGAGCUUGCUCUUACGGGUGGCGAGUGGCGGACGGGUGAGGAAUACAUCGGAAUCUACUUUUUCGUGGGGGAUAACGUAGGGAAACUUACGCUAAUACCGCAUACGACCUACGGGUGAAAGCAGGGGAUCUUCGGACCUUGCGCGAUUGAAUGAGACGAUGUCGGAUUAGCUAGUUGGCGGGGUAAAGGCCCACCAAGGCGACGAUCCGUAGCUGGUCUGAGAGGAUGAUCAGCCACACUGGAACUGAGACACGGUCCAGACUCCUACGGGAGGCAGCAGUGGGGAAUAUUGGACAAUGGGCGCAAGCCUGAUCCAGCCAUACCGCGUGGGUGAAGAAGGCCUUCGGGUUGUAAAGCCCUUUUGUUGGGAAAGAAAAGCAGCAGGUUAAUACCCCGCUGUCCUGACGGUACCCAAAGAAUAAGCACCGGCUAACUUCGUG